rnacentral:rRNA from 1 species
CAGUCGCCGCGGGAAUACGUAGGUCCCGAGCGUUGUCCGGAUUUAUUGGGCGUAAAGCGAGCGCAGGCGGUUAGAUAAGUCUGAAGUUAAAGGCUGUGGCUUAACCAUAGUACGCUUUGGAAACUGUUUAACUUGAGUGCAAGAGGGGAGAGUGGAAUUCCAUGUGUAGCGGUGAAAUGCGUAGAUAUAUGGAGGAACACCGGUGGCGAAAGCGGCUCUCUGGCUUGUAACUGACGCUGAGGAGCGAAAGCGUGGGGAGCGAACAGGAUUAGAUACCCGUGUAGUCCCUGUCUCUUAUACA